GUAAAUAAGUGAUCUUUCCCACUUGGGGCUUCCAUCAUGAAAACCCUUAUUGAAAAAGGGGGAUCUACAGCCGUACAAAGGAGGACACACUUAGAUUGAGAGAGCGAAAAAAUUUCUUCAGCCGUGCGAAGGAGGACGAAACUGUUUUAGCGGCAGUCUCGGUUCCGUUCAGUCUUUGUUCAGGGACUCUGUCUGGUUGGGCGUUCAUCGGUAGCGUGUGCACUGCCGAACCUCAAUCGGCAGCCUCCAUCACCUCCACUGUUGUCCAGUCGCCGCUGCCCAUAUCGUCCAUCAGGAAAUUCCAGUCGUGGGCGUCACUUGUAGAUUCAAGUAUGUUGAUUCUAGCCUUGUGCGAAAUUCAUCACUUAUCUUCCAAAUUAAUGGACGCUUAAGCUGGAAAAUCCAUGUCCGUAAUGGAGCUUUCUCAAUCUUUGAAGUCCAGUUCAUUUCGUCUUUGUUGGUGAGGUUCUUCGUGUUGGGGUUAAUGCUUAAAUCUCGUAACGUCUUGUAGUUUGUAAACACAAACAAAUAAUUUUGUGAUUUAUAAUAUGAAAUAUUUUAUUAA